rnacentral:rRNA from 1 species
AAGACCUUGCACUUUUGGAGCGGCCGAUGUCUGAUUAGCUAGUUGGUGGGGUAAUGGCCUACCAAAGCUUCGAUCAGUAGCUGGUCUGAGAGGACGGCCAGCCACACUGGGACUGAGACACGGCCCAGACUCCUACGGGAGGCAGCAGUGGGGAAUUUUGGACAAUGGGCGCAAGCCUGAUCCAGCAAUGCCGCGUGAGUGAAGAAGGCCUUCGGGUUGUAAAGCUCUUUCAGUUGAGAAGAAAAGAUUGUGACGAAUAAUCACAAUUCAUGACGGUAUCGACAGAAGAAGCACCGGCUAACUACGUGCCAGCAGCCGCGGUAAUACGUAGGGUGCAAGCGUUAAUCGGAAUUACUGGGCGUAAAGGGUGCGCAGGCGGCUUUGUAAGUCAGAUGUGAAAUCCCCGGGCUUAACCUGGGAAUU